UGAAAGUAGUCUGUAUUGUGCUUUCUCUGCCUGCGCCAUUUUACACCCGUGUUUAAGAAUCUUUAACUCAUUAGAAAUAAUAUCCAGUGAUUUCUGUAUAUGUAUGUUUUGUAGGAAUUUAUGUGUUGUUGAGAAAACUUAAGAUGUCUAGCAACCUUACAUUUCCAGCAAGUGUUAAAGUGAAGCGGCAAGAAAAGUUAUCGACUUCCUCAAUAAACGUACCUGCGCAGCUUCAUGAAGACUGAAUGAAUCAUGGAGGACACACAAGCGUCCAGAGAUGGAGAUUUUUCUCCAGGAUGCAGUCAAUUUCAGGGGAACAGAUCAAACUCAUCAGAGCCCAGCUGUGUGUCCAUGAAGAGUAACCGGUCUAUGGACUUACCGGUACAUUUUCAGGGAAGACACACAUCACCUGAUCUGAGUGAGCAGUUAACGGACACUCCAGGAAUAUUUAGAGGAAAACACAUGCCAUCUAAUCUGAG